UGUAAGCGUAUACCAAAGUUGUUGCAGUUAAAACGCUCGUAGUCGGAAUUUGGCAGUUCCGGAUGUGUGCACGUCGUGUGCGCACUUCGCGGGGAUUGCUUUUGUGGUCUUGCGUAGGAUGAGGCACUUUUAUUAGUGAACGUCCUCACGCAACCACUUUUUACUGUGAGAAAAUCAGAGUGCUCAAAGCAGGCAUCUGCCGUGAAUGUAUUAGCAUGGAAUAAUAGAGUAGGACUUGGUUCUAUUUUGUUGGUUUGUUGGGACUGAGUAAUGAUUAAGAGGGACAGUUGGGGGCAUUUGUAUUUCGGUGCUAGAGGUGAAAUUCUUAGAUUACCGAAAGACAAACUGCUGCGAAAGCGUCUGCCAAGGAUGUUUUCAUUGA
rnacentral:rRNA from 1 species